rnacentral:rRNA from 1 species
GACGAACGCUGGCGGCGUGCUUAACACAUGCAAGUCGAGCGGUAAGGCCCUUCGGGUACGACGAGCGGCGAACGGGUGAGUAACACGUGGGUGACCUGCCUUUAGCUCUGGGAUAAGCCUGGGAAACGUGGGUCUAAUACCGGAUAUGACCUCAUGACGCAUGUUGUGGGGUGGAAAGCCUUGUGCGGCUAGAGAUGGGCCCGCGGCCUAUCAGCUUGUUGGUGGGGGUGA